rnacentral:rRNA from 1 species
UACGUAGGGGGCAAGCGUUGUCCGGAUUUAUUGGGCGUAAAGAGCGUGUAGGCGGCUUUGCAAGUCCGUUGUGAAAACUCGAGGCUCAACCUCGAGACGCCGGUGGAAACUGCAAAGCUAGAGUCCGGAAGAGGAGAGUGGAAUUCCUGGUGUAGCGGUGAAAUGCGCAGAUAUCAGGAGGAACACCCGUGGCGAAAGCGGCUCUCUGGGACGGUACUGACGCUGAGACGCGAAAGCGUGGGGAGCAAACUGG